UACAGUGGAGACCAAAUCAUCAGUGUACUGUCUUUUCAUGUCUGAGGUGAACUCAAAAAUAUCAACAAGUUGACAUUUUCUGUCUAUUUUAAAGCUGGCAAACCAGAUUCAGUCCACUAAGCAAAAACAAAUGCCCUGACCAGCAGCAAUUACCUCAAUUAUAUUUCCCUCCUAGCAGAGACAAAAAGUGUGGAUUAGGAAUGUUUGUAACAAGAUAAUAUAGAGCAAAUGUUUGCAAAUUCCUCAGCAUCACUCCUCAGAUAUUUGAAGAGUGAGAGCUAUAAACAAGGCUCUCUGCUGAGGUCCUCUUUUAUUCUGAGUGAUAUCCUCCUUUGAGAAAGAGUCAACACCUUAUAUAGAGGGAGCUGAAGGUCAAGCUGGGAGCCAUUUAUUCAAUGUCAGUAUGGUUGAGGUCGCAUGAUGUUUAUGGUCAUUGAGGUGGAAAAAAAAUCAAGGCCAUUCCAGUUUGAAGUGCAAGAGCAAGUGAUGCUGGUUGAUGUCAUGUGCGGGGGCACAGAGAGGCCAGGUCUGACGCAGGGAGCCUGACGCUCAGCAGGACGGCACAGAGCAGGUCUGUGUGGACAGCCAACAACAGAAACUCUGUCACCCCGCUACACUGCAUGGAAUCCCCUGUAUGCUGUCACUGACAGCAUCCUACAACAGCUACAUGUUGACUCAGUUAAUUGGGAACAGGUCUGUGGAUGACGCAGUCAACAAGGGACUGCACUUCAUCCUGGAACACCUCGACGGCGCAGGGACCUACGCAGGGACCUACACGAGGAUCCUGUUCGUGGACUUCAGCUCUGCAUUCAACACCAUCAUCCCCAAACUCCUCUCCUCCAUGGCCAUGUAACAGAACAGGACAGGUUUAAAAAAAAAAAAAUAAUAAAAAAAUAAAUUGCUUGAGGACUGCAGCAUUUGCACAUUUGUCAUUAUAUCAGCAUCACCACACUAGUGGUACACUUCUAUUGCUCAAUGACUCUCCACACUCACGUGUUUUAUU